UACAGAGGUCUCAAGCGUUGUUCGGAUUCAUUGGGCGUAAAGGGUGCGUAGGCGGCGCGGUAAGUCGGGUGUGAAAUCUCGGGGCUUAACUCCGAAACUGCAUUCGAUACUGCCGUGCUUGAGGACUGGAGAGGAGACUGGAAUUUACGGUGUAGCGGUGAAAUGCGUAGAUAUCAGGAAGAACACCCGUGGCUAAGGCGGCUCUCUAGUACGGUACUGACGCUGAGACGCGAAAGCGUGGGGAGCGAACAGG
rnacentral:rRNA from 1 species